UCUCCUCCUCUCACUGGGUUGUGGGGACUUUCUCCUCAUCAGCUAGGGCUGAAGGGCAAGCCCAGCCCUCAGACAUGCUUGUGAAGACUCCCAUGAGCUGCGAAGCCUUGUUUCCUGCCCCAGUCAUGA